rnacentral:rRNA from 1 species
UAAGGAAUAUUGCUCAAUGGGAGAAAUCCUGAAGCAGCAACGCCGCGUGGAGGAUGAAGGGUCUAUGACUUGUAAACUCCUGUAAAGAAGGAAAAAAUUCCCAUUAGAUGGGAGAUGAUGGUACUUCUGGAGUAAGCCCCGGCUAACUACGUGCCAGCAGCCGCGGUAAUACGUAGGAGGCAAGCGUUGUCCGGAUUUACUGGGUGUAAAGGGUGCUCAGGCGGAUUUGUAAGUCAGAGGUGAAAUCUUACAGCUUAACUGUGAAACUGCCUUUGAUACUGCAAGCCUAGAGUAUGGAAGAGNGUGAUGGAAUAUCUGGUGUAGCAGUGAAAUGCGUAGAUAUCAGAUAGAACACCAAUGGCGAAGGCAGUCACUUGGUCCAUUACUGACGCUAAAGCACGAAAGCGUGGGUAGCAAACA